GUGCCAGCCGCCGCGUAAUUCCAGCUCCAAUAGCGUAUAUUAAAGUUGUUGUGGUUAAAAAGCUCGUAGUUGAACCUUGGGCCUGGCUGGCCGGUCCGCCUCACCGCGUGCACUGGUCCGGCCGGGCCUUUCCCUCUGUGGAACCCCAUACCCUUCACUGGGCGUGGCGGGGAAACAGGACAUUUACUUUGAAAGAAUUAGAGUGCUCCAGGCAGGCCUAUGCUCGAAUACAUUAGCAUGGAAUAAUAAAAUAGGACGCGCGGUUCUAUUUUGUUGGUUUAUAGGACCGCCGUAAUGAUUAAUAGGGACAGUCGGGGGCAUCAGUAUUCAACUGUCAGAGGUGAAAUUCUUGGAUCAGUUGAAGACUAACUACUGCGAAAGCAUUUGCCAAGGAUGUUUUCAUUAAUCAGGAACGAAAGUUAGGGGAUCGAAGACGAUCAGAUACCGUCGUAGUCUUAACCAUAAACUAUGCCGACUAGGGAUCGGACGGUGUUAUUCAUGACCCGUUCGGCACCUUACGAGAAAUCAAAGUGCUUGGGCUCCAGGGGGAGUAUGGUCGCAAGGCUGAAACUUAAAGAAAUUGACGGAAGGGCACCACCAGGGGUGGAGCCUGCGGCUUAAUUUGACUCAACACGGGGAAACUCACCAGGUCCAGACACAAUAAGGAUUGACAGAUUGAGAGCUCUUUCUUGAUUUUGUGGGUGGUGGUGCAUGGCCGUCUAGUGUGGGUGACUUGUCUGCUAAUGCGAUACGACGAGACUACUGCUAAUAGCCGCAUGCUCGCAGUGCGCUGCUCUAGAGGACUUCCGCUCAGCGAGCAGGUGAGCAUAACAGUUUGAUGCCUAGAUGUCUGUCGGACGCGGCUAACUGACGGUCACGAGUCCUGCGAGGCUGACUGUAGCCCCGCGGCUGGGAUAGACAUGCAAAUAUGGUA
rnacentral:rRNA from 1 species